rnacentral:rRNA from 1 species
GUGGGGAAUCUUGCGCAAUGGGCGAAAGCCUGACGCAGCCAUGCCGCGUGAAUGAUGAAGGUCUUAGGAUUGUAAAAUUCUUUCACCGGGGACGAUAAUGACGGUACCCGGAGAAGAAGCUCCGGCUAACUUCGUGCCAGCAGCCGCGGUAAUACGAAGGGGGCUAGCGUUGCUCGGAAUUACUGGGCGUAAAGGGCGCGUAGGCGGACAGCUUAGUCAGAGGUGAAAGCCCAGGGCUCAACCUUGGAAUUGCCUUUGAUACUGGCUGUCUUGAGUUUGGGAGAGGUGAGUGGAACUCCGAGUGUAGAGGUGAAAUUCGUAGAUAUUCGGAAGAACACCAGUGGCGAAGGCGACUCACUGGCCCAAUACUGACGCUGAGGCGCGAAAGCGUGGGGAGCAAACAGGAUUAGAAACCCCAUAGUCC